CUUAUCACGAGUGACGGAGGGAUGGGCCCGAUGAAGUCACGGCAACCGGCGGAAUCCGCAAGGUGCCAAAUCCCGCAGCGCGCGCGCCCCGAGAAGGGAAGCGCUGACAGAUAAG
rnacentral:ncRNA from 1 species